UCUUAUGGGCGGGCCUUGGUGGGGGAGCCUUCGGGCUCGCCGGUUCCCUGUGACGCCGGUCUGUCAACCCUGCCAUGCGCCCGCCCACCUCA
rnacentral:antisense_RNA from 3 species